UGGCUAAUCGUCCUCCACAAAUAGUGAAAUCAUUAGCAGCCAUGGACGAUGCUGACGAUCAAUUUAUAUUAGUUCGAGAAAACGAAGAUGUAAAACAUGGAUUGAGGUGUGGCAAAGUCAAGAAUGAUGGUUGCGUAAGGAAACAUGUUGGUCACUCUCACGAAGGUAUACUCGAUGUGCUAUACUCAAAUGAAGAUGGUGAACGAUCUUACUGUUCAUAGGGGUGGGCAACUUCGCUGACUAAGGUUUUAAAACAUUCUAAUUAUGAAGAGUUUUGGGAACCGGAUACUGAUGCUGACGGUAACUAUGAUAAGCUGAGAAGCCAUCGUCUGACAAUGCUAAAAAAUCUGAUGGCUGCUGUUGCUUACUGCAUCGAAGAAGGAUUUAGUGUAUAUGCGUUGACUACGGAUAUGAUCGUCUUUCUCGAUGACGAUCCAACUUAUUUAAGGCCAAAGAUCAUGGAGUGCUGUCUGAAGACAAAGCAAAGCCGUGGGGGCCGUAUCCCGAAUUUGGACCACUUCAAAAUAUCAUUGGCAAAGAGUUCUUAUUUGGAAAGAGGACCAGAAAUCCUCUUAUGGUCUCAUUUAUAAGAUGUCUGCAUGAUGAGUGUGCUGCCGCUCUGUUUGGUAAGGAUGAUCUAGGAAAUCGCAGAGAGUAUCGAUUUCUUGAACACCCCAUAUUUUUGGAGAAUGAGCCAUACGCAACAUAUGUGGAAACCGUUCACAACCACAUGUAUACGAGCGACAGAUUUCCACCUGGGCUGUUUGACGAGACUAGGAUGCUUAAUGAGGACUCGAUAUUUCUUAGACGAGGGGAUGGUAGACCGGGGGAGAAGGAGAUAGAGAUCGGGUGUUCGUCGAACUUGGAUGACCACAGUAGCCGACCUGGAGUCGUCGAGUGUGAUAAAGCAAUCAUAUGAAAAAGAAAAGAAUCGUUUAAACAGAACAGUUGCUUCGUUUGUUACACUCUUGCGUGGCUCGAUGGUACAUGCAAAUGACAAGGCAGCGCACAGCAAGAAACUUGUUGUACAAAGUGGCAGGAAAACUGUUGGAAGAGGCAGCGCUGCUGUUGUAGGCAGAGGAGUAUAUGCCGAAUUUCUCAAGCUAGAGUUUCCACAAUUAGUUCCAUAUCUAUUUGAAUGCUAUGGCACGUGUCAAACAAUUGAUUAGUGUGGAGAACUGCUGUCUAGCUUCAUUGUCAAUGUGGUAAUAUUUUGUUGUUAAUAGUUUUGCAACUCUUGCCAAGUGUCUGUCUCAAGACUUGUCUUAUCACGUCUCUAUGUGGUAAUAUUUUGUUGUCAAUGGUUUUGCAACUGUUGCCAAGGGUCUUAUUCACAUCUCUACUUGUAUAUGGAUUUUAAUUUUAGGCUACUAAAUAUUUCAAAAAUACUCUGUGAAUUUGCUUGCUCUUCUAGGGCUGAGUCUUGUGGAGGAAUUGGAGGUAAUGAUUGUGAUGGAAAACUGUAAAAUCUACUCGAAAGCAAAUUACCUUAUUUGUUUUUUGUCCAUUUUUGAAAUUUAAUGAAAUAGCAGCCUAUCCAGUGAGCA